UACGAAGGGGGCUAGCGUUGUUCGGAUUAACUGGGCGUAAAGCGCACGUAGGCGGAUCUUUAAGUCAGGGGUGAAAUCCCGAGGCUCAACCUCGGAACUGCCUUUGAUACUGGAGAUCUCGAGUUCGGGAGAGGUGAGUGGGACUGCGAGUGUAGAGGUGGAAUUCGUAGAUAUUCGCAAGAACACCAGUGGCGAAGGCGGCUCACUGGCCCGAUACUGACGCUGAGGUGCGAAAGCGUGGGGAGCAAACAGG
rnacentral:rRNA from 1 species